CGCGUAGGUGGUUUUGUAAGUUGGAGGUGAAAUCCCCGGGCUCAACCUGGGAACUGCCUCCAAAACUGCAUGACUAGAGUACGGUAGAGGGUAGUGGAAUUUCCUGUGUAGCGGCGAAAUGCGUAGAUAUAGGAAGGAACACCAGUGGCGAAGGCGACUACCUGGACUGAUACUGACACUGAGGUGCGAAAGCGUGGGGAGGCAAAAACA
rnacentral:rRNA from 1 species